rnacentral:rRNA from 1 species
CAUAGGUUAAUGAGGCGAACCGGGGGAACUGAAACAUCUAAGUACCCCGAGGAAAAGAAAUCAACCGAGAUUCCCCCAGUAGCGGCGAGCGAACGGGGAGGAGCCCAGAGCCUGAAUCAGUGUGUGUGUUAGUGGAAGCGUCUGGAAAGGCGCGCGAUACAGGGUGACAGCCCCGUACACAAAAAUGCACAUACUGUGAGCUCGAUGAGUAGGGCGGGACACGUGGUAUCCUGUCUGAAUAUGGGGGGACCAUCCUCCAAGGCUAAAUACUCCUGACUGACCGAUAGUGAACCAGUACCGUGAGGGAAAGGCGAAAAGAACCCCGGCGAGGGGAGUGAAAAAGAACCUGAAACCGUGUACGUACAAGCAGUGGGAGCCUCUUAAUGGGGUGACUGCGUACCUUUUGUAUAAUGGGUCAGCGACUUAUAUUCUGUAGCAAGGUUAACCGAAUAGGGGAGCCGAAGGGAAACCGAGUCUUAACUGGGCGUUAAGUUGCAGGGUAUAGACCCGAAACCCGGUGAUCUAGCCAUGGGCAGGUUGAAGGUUGGGUAACACUAACUGGAGGACCGAACCGACUAAUGUUGAAAAAUUAGCGGAUGACUUGUGGCUGGGGGUGAAAGGCCAAUCAAACCGGGAGAUAGCUGGUUCUCCCCGAAAGCUAUUUAGGUAGCGCCUCGUGAAUUCAUCUCCGGGGGUAGAGCACUGUUUCGGCAAGGGGGUCAUCCCGACUUACCAACCCGAUGCAAACUGCGAAUACCGGAGAAUGUUAUCACGGGAGACACACGGCGGGUGCUAACGUCCGUCGUGAAGAGGGAAACAACCCAGACCGCCAGCUAAGGUCCCAAAGUCAUGGUUAAGUGGGAAACGAUGUGGGAAGGCCCAGACAGCCAGGAUGUUGGCUUAGAAGCAGCCAUCAUUUAAAGAAAGCGUAAUAGCUCACUGGUCGAGUCGGCCUGCGCGGAAGAUGUAACGGGGCUAAACCAUG